rnacentral:rRNA from 1 species
UACAGAGGGUGCAAGCGUUUAAUCGGAAUUACUGGGCGUAAAGCGCACGUAGGUGGGUGCUUAAGUCGAAUGUGAAAACCCCCCAAGCUCAACUUGGGGACUGCAUGCGAUACUGAACACCUAGAGUAUGGUAGAGGGAAGUGGAAUUUCCGGAGUAGCGGUGAAAUGCGUAGAUAUCGGAAGGAACACCAGUGGCGAAAGGCGGCUUCCUGGGCUAAUACUGACACUGAGGUGCGAAAGCGUGGGGAGCAAACAGGG